rnacentral:misc_RNA from 1 species
ACACCCAUCAAGCCUGGCUUGGUAUUGGGCGACGGGGCCUCCCCCGCGCCCCGAUUUCGCCGGCUGGACGACCCCCGCUCUCAGCGUUGUGACGCAUUUCGCUGUCGAGACGGGACGGCCACGCCGUUAACCCCAAUCAAAUCA